AGAGUUUGAUCCUGGCUCAGAACGAACGCUGGCGGCAGGCCUAACACAUGCAAGUCGAGCGCACUCUUCGGAGUGAGCGGCGGACGGGUUAGUAACGCGUGGGAAUAUACCCAGAUCUAAGGAAUAGCCACUGGAAACGGUGAGUAAUACCUUAUACGCCCUUNGGGGGAAAGAUUUAUCGGAUUUGGAUUAGCCCGCGUUANAUUAGAUAGUNGGNGGGGUNAUGGCCUACCAAGUCUACGAUCUAUAGCUGGUUNGAGAGGAUGAUCAACAACACUGGGACUGAGACACGGCCCAUACUCCUACGGGAGGCAGCAGUGGGGANUNUUGNACAAUGGGCGCAAGCCUGAUCCACCAUGCCGNGUGAGUGAUGAAAGCCCUANGGUCGUAAAGCUNUUUCCCAGANAUGAUAAUGACAGUUUNUGGUAAAAAAACCCCGNNUUACUUCCUGCCACAGCCGGGGUAAUACAAGGGCGAAUUCCACCCCUGNGGGGCGUUU
rnacentral:rRNA from 1 species